rnacentral:rRNA from 1 species
AGUGAACGCUGGCGGUAGGCCUAACACAUGCAAGUCGAACGGCAGCACAGUAAGAGCUUGCUCUUACGGGUGGCGAGUGGCGGACGGGUGAGGAAUACAUCGGAAUCUACUUUUUCGUGGGGGAUAACGUAGGGAAACUUACGCUAAUACCGCAUACGACCUACGGGUGAAAGCAGGGGAUCUUCGGACCUUGCGCGAUUGAAUGAGCCGAUGACGGAUUAGCUAGUUGGCGGGGGAAAGGCCCACCAAGGCGACGAUCCGUAGCUGGUCUGAGAGGAUGAUCAGCCACACUGGAACUGAGACACGGUCCAGACUCCUACGGGUGGCAGCAGUGGGGAAUAGUGGACAAUGGGCGCAAGCCUGAUCCAGCCAUACCGCGUGGGUGUAGAAGGCCUUCGGGUUGUAAAGCCCUUUUGUUGGGAAAGAAAAGCAGCAGGUUAAUACCCCGCUGUUCUGACGGUACCCAAAGAAUAAGCACCGGCUUACUUCGUG